UUAGUGGCUGGUCCCACAAGUCGGCGGUUGAUUAUUGGUUGGGUCAGCAUUGGAAAGGUGCGAGAGCGCUUUGGGCGAAUGCGCACGUCCCGCGCCGCGCGCGACGUGGGUGUGCUGCGGCAUGGAGGUUUCACGAGAGUAAAAAAUUCCUCCCCCUCCUCUGUUGUGCAAGGCGGCAGAAGUACGAAGGGCGGCGGUCGGAGUGCCGCCUCCUCCGCCAGGCUCUUCCUCCUUGUCUCAACGGCAACUGUGAGCACGGGAGAAGCGGCGGCGCCUAGAUUCGAUGGGCUGACCAAGGUGGUUCCACGGUGGAGAACGGACCCCCUCGACGCCAUCCUCUGCGGCGUUGUCCCGCUGCCUCUGUUUCCUUUACCGCCGGUGGUGGGAGGAUACCCGGGGGAGCAGAGAAGGGGGUUGGAUGAGGGGUUAGGAGGUGCGAGGCGAGCAGGAGGUGGGGGUCACCGGACGAGCACAGCCACCAGAGCAGAGGAGUUCGAUGCAGAGCAGAGGCAGUCGGAGAGCGCGCGGUAUCCUGCGAGACAUGUCCGCUCCCAAGCAGAGGAUGCAUAAGCGCUGGCUCCUCCUCUCCCCACGCCACUGCUUUCCUGCGUCGUCGCUACCGCCACGGUCUUGCUUGCCAUCGACCUCCCGGAGACCGGAGUGCUUCUCUCCGCUGCAUUCCCCUUUGCACGAGUUCUUGCCUUCAAAACUAAGUUUGUUCUUCCUGCUGCUAAGCAUUAGUCCUCUCGUCGAUCUUGCCUGAUUUUCUCGUCAGUUUUGCAUUUGAAGCUCAGGUUGGCCUGAGAGCAGCGAGGUUAGGGCUCCAGAUGGUUCUUGGUUGCAAUGGGGGGAGAGGCAGGGGAGGGUGAGGAGGCCAACGAUAGGGUGAAGCAGCCCGGCAACGAGUGCAAGCAGCAUGAGGUUUUGCACAUUCUCUUUUCUUGUUCUGCUUAGCUUUUUUCUUCAUCUCAUUAUUGACCAAUUCGUUGUUUAUGUGAUUCUCUCCUUUUUUAUUCUCAUGAACUGAUGUGUGUACAGGGUAAGCUUAUUCUUAUCUCUACAAUUCAUGGAUGAAUUAAUGGUCUUGGUUAUAUGGUUUAUUCAGUCCACCUGAAGAAACAAAGUUUGCACCCCUGGACUGAUUUAUUGGAAUUAUGAUGUGAUCUGUCUGCUUCCACAUGGCCGUUCUUGGUCCAAGUAUCGUAUUGUUUCAUGUCCUUUGUUGCAGUUUAAAGCUUUGAUUUUUAAGACUAGGCACUGUAGUGUUGUCUGUUAUGGCUGAUUGGCUUCUUUUGGUUCAUAGGAUAGGAUUAUCAUAAGAAUAGGAAUCUUGUAGGAAAUGAGAUGACAUGUAUCUCAAAUCCUAUGAGUAGGAAUAGAAAACAAGAUGCCAUUUGAUUGACACCAAAGGAAUUUUUCCAUUAAGUCUAGGCUCUUUUUUAUUUUCCUAUGAAAUGUGGAGGAUAGGAACCAAUCCUAUGUAGGAAUAGGAAUCCAUUCCUAUGAACCAAAGGGCUCUAAAGGAAAAAAAAUCCUAUAAGAAUCCUAUCCUCUAAAAUUCCUAUGAAAUUCCUCUAAACUAAACCAAAGGAGAGAUUGGAUUAAUUCCUGCAGCCAAUAGUUCCAGUACAGACUAUAUGUGCAAUGAAGUAAUGCAGCGAGCACUGUAUGGUGGUGAAGAAUUUCUCUUGAAUUUUGUACAACAUUCAAAUUAUCAUCCAGAAAAUGUGUGUUGUUUCUCAAUAGGCACAUAUGCAAAUUUAUCUUUCUGUUGGUUGUUUGUUCUUCUGGCAGCAUCCCAAGUAUACACAUGUGACGCUAUGGGAGUUCUUCUUUUGUGUGAUCAUGAGAGGAAUACGAUAGGCCAACCAAUUCUACCAUGUGAACACAAUCGUUGUGUGAUGUUCCGUGGUUCCGAAUCAGGCGCACCUCGUCGUCGUGGAGAGCAUGAGUAGAUGGGUCUUCAUGGUGGGGUGGAGCUGCAGGGGAGGGAAGGUUGCUGACGACAGGGGGAAGGAGGAGGCCGACGAGGAGGGCAAACAGCAGGGCGAAGGGGCACGGCGAGCCCAUCAGGGGGAAAAAGCAGGGUGAGUGACGCUAGCGGGAGGAAGGAGCAGGGCGAGGCCUUGUGACCUGCGUCCUCCUUGCGGCGAGCGGCUUUUCUACUCGUUUAGCAUGUGUGCGGCACUGCGGACAGGCGACGAUGGGCAGAUUUUGGGGAGCGGCACGAACAUCAAGCAAUGGCUGAUGACAAGGGAUUAUAGGAAGCAAGCAUAUGUGGGUGGGUUCUUUCUUCUUGCAUGAAAUUGUUCUACUAAUUCCUCAAUGCUCUGUUCAUGACUUUGUUCAGAAUGUAUAUAUAUAUAGGGUUGUUAUAGAAGUAUCCCAUAUAUCAGAGGUGCAGCUAACUGUACUUUCAGGCAUUGUUCCAAAUAUCGUACAGUUAAUCGGCAUCUCAGUCAGUUAAUCGCUACUCGGUGGGUCACCGAAUAGCCGAUUGACUGAUUUAUCGGGCGGAUAACUGAUCUAUCAACCGAAUAAUUGAAAAAUUCACCUAUGUAUCUCUAUUCGGCAUCCAACCGAUAUGGUACCAGUUACCGAUAUCCUGAACAUUGCUUUUAGGGAUAAGCUUGUCAAUGCAGGAAAAUCUAAAAGAAAGCGACUAAAAUCAACAUUUAAAGGUACAGCCUAUAUUCUGGUACUGUGGAAAUUAAUAUUCUGGUAUGUUAUUGGGAAUCAUGAGUUUGCUGACAGUGAGACCCAUUAGUUAGAAUCUGUUCAGAAAGCAGUAUCUAUGUAGAUGUGAUGUACUGGUAUUUUGAUCCAUUGUGCCACCCAUACUUCACCUAUCUGGAUUAUUUAGCUCGAGCUAUUUGCAGAAUCUUAUACUUCAAUAAGCACAAGAAUAUUAAUUUUUGGAGCAGUAGAGUAUAUAUAGCUAUAUAGAGUUAAGUCAUG